rnacentral:lncRNA from 1 species
AAAUAUGCCGAUGUUAGAAACAAAAGGCAAUAUCUCUGCAGUACGGAUUUGGACAAACAAACACUACUCCACCACUUUAAUAAGAUACACCACUGAAACCUGUAUUGCCCCAAAGUCAAAAAAAAAAAAAAAAAAGUCCCUCUAGAUUCAUUGAAGAGUAAGAGCUUGGCUAACCAACGAAGGGUGAAUAGUUUGACUAGGAUAAUAAUUUGUAUGUCGUGGACGAUUUGUAAAGUCUGAUUAGGACAUAAUUUAUAUAAGUUUGGAAUGUUGGAAUAUUAAUGAUCAUUAUGAAACUGUUCCUAUAAAUGCUUAGAAAUCAUCCCUUAGAACUGCUCCUAUAAGCCUGCUCAGGUAUUUUACUGUUAAAAUAUUUUCAUAGAUUUAUAAGUUUUUAUUUUCCACGUAAAAUCUAUUCCAAUUUUUUGCUUAGAUUUGAUUUAUUUCUUGCCCUUAUUUAGAUUCAUAUUUCGUCUUGCAAGAUUAAUAAUCUCUCAUUUUAGUUUUAUAUACGAUUCUUCUGUUAUUUUGGCUUCUCCUUUCAAAUAGCCCAACCAUACAAAUCAUGUUUGUUUGCUCUCAAUUUUUAAACAUGGGGUUUAUUUGACAUUGGGCAAGGUAUGAGGUUUCUUUGUUGAGUUCAAUUUAAUUUCUUUCUUUAGUGUUUCCACACCAAUUUACACUUAAAACUUCAACAAAUUGGUCAAACUAAAUAGCUUUCAGAUUAUAUUGCAAGAUUGGAAUCUCAAAAUUUAAUAUUAACUUGAUAUGCUAUGUUUUCCAUUUUUGAGUUUGGGGUUUUUCUGUUGAAAUUGCCCGACAAUAAUGUGAUUCCGAACUCAUCCCAUGGGAACAACUUCCAUUUAUUCAAUUUAUUUUAAAUUAUCUCAUAAAAAACAAAAAUCCCUCCAAAAGUCUGAAACAAUAUAAUCUCUCAACAAAAGGCUAUUUUUGAUGCUAGAUAUUGUCUUACAGGUUGGAAGGAUUACAAUCUCCCAACUUUGAUUAUUUGUAUCAGUCUUCUAUUAUUUUUAGGUUUCUCACCUUAUUAAUUUGUUGUUGUUUUUUCUCUCUAUUAAAGAGUAUCUCUUCAAUUUUCGUUACGUUCAAUAAUCUUUCUUAUGUUGUGUCUACUUUAAUAAUCCAUUCUACAAUCUUUCUCUUCUUUUAUGUAAUUGAAUCUUAGACUGUUGUGUCUACUUACUUCUUCAUUUUUAUUUUUUUUAUGAAAAAGAAUAUAAUGUCUACUUAAUUCUUUCUAUACACAAUAAUCCAUUCUACAAUCUUCUUCUUUCUUUUAUAUAAUUGCUAAUCUCAGAAUGUUGUGUUUUGUUUAUUUUUGUAGUUAUCCACUGCUAUAAGGAAUCAGUGGGAACAUCAUUGGGAGCCCUGAAGUGAGGUACUUCUUUCUAUUAAAUUCUCUUUUAUUCCACGUAUAACUCUCCAACCUUCAGUAACUUAAACGCAUUUCCCAAUGCCGCGCAGACAAUUCCCAGUUCACUUGGAUUUCGCAAUAACUAUCAACACAAGGCCAAUCCGUUAAAUUUGUUAGAAUAGACUUGAGAAACCAUGUUUUCAGCCAUGGUCAACUUUAUGUUGCAUAGUCGAGGUGUACUUCUUCAAAAGAAUACAAUAACCAAUGUUGUUUACCCUGAAGUUUUACUGUAGCAAUAUCAACACAGUAAGGUAAGUUCUUAUCCUAUGACUGUUCUUUGUUCUGUGCAUAUAAUUUCAAUAUCCUAUAUACUUAUGAAGGAAUCUUACAU